GGGGGUGGGUGCACUCCAGAACUCUUGAGUCUGCGUCCGAGGAAGGGGGAAACUCAUCCUGCGGCUCUUCACCCCCUCCGCCACUCCCCCUCGGGACUGAACGUGAUCCGGCCGCCACCUCUCAGGCCUGCGUCCCACGCGCCCCUUCGGCGCGGACCCCCAGAAUCCCGGGCCGCGCGCGCCGGAUGGAGCCCUCCGAGUCGCGGUUGGGGCGCGCUCCUGUUCUCCAGAGGCGCCAGCGCGACUCGCAUCCUUGGCCCGGCGGGAUGCGGGUGCGCGGGUCCGGGGCUCAGAGGCCGGUCCCUUUAGCUGAGUCUCCCCGCAACCCAAAGGAGGGCGGAGGAGGGGGGCGAGGGACGUCACCCAAGCGCGGAGCCGGGUCCGCGGAGACUAAACAAGGAGAGGAACAGGCUGUAAACACACAUCCUGACACACAAGCAGACCCGGCGCAUAAUGAGGUAGCAGCCUCCAGCCGGCCACCGUGACUAACUCAGAACAAAAGCGCUCCCUCCACGCCUCUCCCAACAAAGGGGCCACCAGUCCCGGCGCUCCCGAAGGCUGCGGGGCUCCCGGCUGCCGGCUUCGCGGAGCUGUCGCGCGCAAACUUCGCGGGGCUCCCGGGGCUGCAGGCGCCACCGAGCCGGGGCCGCGGAGGGAGGAAGCCACAUGCCGCCCCGGAGAGAGAAAGCAGGGAUGUUGCUUUUGGAGAAUGUGAAGACAGUUUGCUUCUUGACAAGCGAGCGAGCCGGCGCCCAGAUUUCUGCAGCCUCUCUGAAUCUCCCCGAGAGAGGAAAAAACGCAGGCAGAGAGAAAAAAAGGCGGAUUGGGAGUCACAGGGUAGAAUUCUGGAACAGGGUGGGGGUAGCCGGUCUCUGGACCCCCAGAAUAGCGGCUCUGCUCCCCCAACCCUGUGGCUACUUAAAAUCCUGGAACUCUGUGGGGGAUUGGGGCUGGGAACGCUCCUUGGAUCAUCACUGCAAAGAAGGAAGAGGAGAAAACAGUAUUUCUCCUCUGCCUGCCUGCAGAAGGGGCCUUGUUCUAGAAGCUGUUUGGCUGCAGACACGGGCCGGUUGCUUGCCUCAUUCUCUGAGAAAGUGGAAUGUCUCUCCUUGCACCACUCAGCAAAUUAUACUCCUAGCUUUCCAAAGUGGGUCUUGCUUAGGGCUGUGUGUGUGUGUGUGUGUGUGUGUGUGUGUGUGUGCACACGCGCGCACGCGCGCACGCGCGCCCUUGCAUGUGUGUGCCUGUGCCCCUCUACAGUGAGGCCAGGGCAGCUAUAGGGUUGCCGCUGGUUCCAGAAAACUGGUUGCGGACAAUUUUUAAGGGAGAGGGGGGCGGGUGGGUGCACCAUUAGCUGAGCUCCUUGGGGUCACUGUCUUCUGCCUUGAAGAUGCUUCCAUUCAGGAGAUGGCUGGGAAGGAUCAGAGCCAUAUGCAUCUGAAGGCCCACCUUCUGGCUAUCUCAUAUUCCCACCCCCCAGGAAUCCUGGGGAGGUGGGGUAUGCUUCUUGCACUUAACCCUUCUCUCUGUGGUUUGUAUAGCAAGCAAAGGGGGUGGUGAUUCCUUUGAAGGAAUGUGAGUUUGUAGGCAUCUUAAGAAAGGAAGGGGGUGAGGCUGAAUGCUAGGAGUGGCAGUAGAGACCCUAUCUUUACCCUGGACCUCCUCGCCUUUGCCCUUUUCCAAAUCUCCCCCGGCCUCCAACAGCAGAGGGAGGGGAGUGUUUUAUGUUGAUGCAUAGGGCUGUCAGAUAGCAGCAAUGCAGCUCGGGCAUGCCUCCCUCUUUAUAAUAUCAGCUCAUUGCCUUGGUCACACUUACCAGAAAAUCCAUCGCUCACCAUCAUUGACAAAAAUCAGGAAGGCCUAAAGUGUGUGUUAAAACCCCACCUGUGUGCCUGGACCAGAGGGCUAGCUCCAUCCCGGGCAGACAAGAGCCCCGUUCCUCCUCCUCCUCCUCCUCCUCCUCCUCCUCCUCUCCCUGCAGCAAUCUGAACAAUUCUGAAGCCACCUCCCAGGGCCUCAGCUGAGUAGGUUGGGGAACUAACCAGGGGCCUCUCUCUAGGGCCCUGUUAAAUGCACAGAAAAAAAAAAUGAACCGCAAAGUGUGAAUUUCAGGUUUGAACAUGAUGCGUCAGGAAGCAUGCGGGCUGGCAGCCCUUCCCCUCCUGCUCGCCUUUCGGUAGCAGGAAUUAAUAUUGUAUUAAAUGUUAUGGGAAAGUAAGGGCUGCGGAGAGGAAUGUGCUCAGAUGCAAUUUUGUCAAGGUUUUUAUCUGUGAUUAUGAUUCCAGAUGUAGGAACUCCCCGAGGAGGAAGUGAGGGGCUGCUGGCGUGUGACAUGUGUUUUAAGGUGUUUGCCAGUGUUUCUCAAAGUGGUGACAAAAUGUUCAAUUUUAUGACAGGGGAGCGGCAAAAGAAAUAUUAAUACUAGGUCAGAGAUUGUUCACCUCAGGGGGAAAGAUUUACCGCUUAUUGAUUAGGGUGGGGGAAAGUUUGUAUCUAGGACCUGCUUAAAUAAAAAAGCACAUUGUCCACAAAGCAAAUUGGUCAGAUAAGAUUAUUCUUAAGGAACCAUUGUUACUAAAUACACCCUAACUAACUGCAUCACCCCUCCUUCUAAUUUCCAUGCAAGGAUGU